GCUCUGGGAUAGCUUAGUUGGUAGAGCAUGAGACUCUUAAUCUCAGGGUUAUGGGUUUGAGACCCAACUUGGGCA